rnacentral:rRNA from 1 species
GACGAACGCUGGCGGCGUGCCUAAUACAUGCAAGUCGAGCGAAGAAUAGGUUUCAAAUCUUCGGAUGCGAGACCUAUUACUUAGCGGCGAACGGGUGAGUAACGCGUGGGCAACCUGCCCCCUAGACCGGGAUAACAGCUCGAAAGGGCUGCUAAUACCGGAUACGCCUCAUGUGCUGCAUGGCAUAUGAGGGAAAGCGCUUUAGCGCUGGGGGAUGGGCCCGCGUCCCAUUAGCUAGUUGGUGAGGUAACGGCUCACCAAGGCGACGAUGGGUAGCCGGCCUGAGAGGGUGGACGGCCACACUGGGACUGAGACACGGCCCAGACUCCUACGGGAGGCAGCAGUAGGGAAUAUUGCGCAAUGGGGGGAACCCUGACGCAGCGACGCCGCGUGAGCGACGAAGGCCUUCGGGUCGUAAAGCUCUGUCCUAUGGGACGACGAGGACGGUACCAUAGGAGGAAGCCCCGGCUAACUACGUGCCAGCAGCCCGCGGUAAUACGUAAGGGGGCGAGCGUUGUCCGGAAUUACUGGGCGUAAAGGGUGCGUAGGCGGGAUACCCCAG